UUAAGUAUUAUAUAGUACUCAGACGACACUAAUAUUCAGGGUUUGGGGUCCUCUGGCGGGCACUCCCCCACCGGAGCGGGGGCGCGGCUAGGCCUCGUGGCCCGCCAAAGCAACAAACAUCAUAUUCAAGGGUGGGCGAUCCUACCCGUGAGGGCAGGGAACACUGUAAUGAUCCUUCCGCAGGUUCACCUACGGAAA
rnacentral:misc_RNA from 1 species